rnacentral:rRNA from 1 species
AUUGAACGCUGGCGGCAGGCCUAACACAUGCAAGUCGAACGGUAACAGGAAGAAGCUUGCUUCUUUGCUGACGAGUGGCGGACGGGUGAGUAAUGUCUGGGAAACUGCCUGAUGGAGGGGGAUAACUACUGGAAACGGUAGCUAAUACCGCAUAACGUCGCAAGACCAAAGAGGGGGACCUUCUGGCCUCUUGCCAUCGGAUGUGCCCAGAUGGGAUUAGCUAGUAGGUGGGGUAACGGCUCACCUAGGCGACGAUCCCUAGCUGGUCUGAGAGGAUGACCAGCCACACUGGAACUGAGACACGGUCCAGACUCCUACGGGAGGCAGCAGUGGGGAAUAUUGCACAAUGGGCGCAAGCCUGAUGCAGCCAUGCCGCGUGUAUGAAGAAGGCCUUCGGGUUGUAAGGUACUUUCAGCGGGGAGGAAGGGAGUAAAGUUAAUACCUUUGCUCAUUGACGUUACCCGCAGAAGAAGCACCGGCUAACUCCGUGCCAGCAGCCGCGGUAA